rnacentral:rRNA from 1 species
CCCUUAGAUGUUCUGGGCCGCACGCGUGCUACACUGAGUGGAUCAGCGGGUCAGGUUGCGCGAAAGUGUUUCCUAAUCUUUAAAUCCGCUCGUGAUGGGGAUUGACGGUUGCAAUUUUCCGUCAUGAACGAGGAAUACCUUGUAAGCGCGGGUCAUCAUCCCGCGCUGAAUACGUCCCUGCCCUUUGUACACACCGCCCGUCGCUCCUACCGAUUGAGUGGUCCGGUGAGGCUUUGGGAUCUGGGCGGAAAGAGCGUUUCGCUGCUUCUGCCCGGAAAACUCAGUCGAACCUUAUCAUUUAGAGGAAGGAGAAGUCGUAACA